CGUAGGGGGCAAGCGUUGUCCGGAUUUAUUGGGCGUAAAGAGCGUGUAGGCGGCUAGGUAGGUCUGCUGUGAAAACUCGAGGCUCAACCUCGAGACGCCGGCGGAAACCAUCUGGCUAGAGUCCGGAAGAGGAGAGUGGAAUUCCUGGUGUAGCGGUGAAAUGCGCAGAUAUCAGGAAGAACACCCGUGGCGAAGGCGGCUCUCUGGGACGGUACUGACGCUGAGACGCGAAAGCGUGGGGAGCGAACAGGAUUAGAUACCCUGGUAGUCCACGCCGUAAACGAUGAGUGCUAGGUGUGGGGGGUGUCGACUCCCCCCGUGCCGAAGCUAACGCAUUAAGCACUCCGCCUGGGGAGUACGGCCGCAAGGCUA
rnacentral:rRNA from 1 species